AAUCAACGCUGGCGGCGUGCCUAACACAUGCAAGUCGAACGCGACUGGGGCUUCGGCCUCAGUUGAGUGGCGAACGGGUGAGUAACACGUGGGUGACCUACCUUCGAAUGGGGGAUAACGUCCCGAAGGGACGCUAAUACCGCAUAACAUCCUGCCUUUGAACAGGCGGAGAUCAAAGCCGGGGAUCGCAAGACCUGGCGUUUGAAGAGGGGCCCGCGUCCGAUUAGCUAGUUGGGAGGU
rnacentral:rRNA from 1 species